CGGCGGACGGGUGAGUAACACGUGGGUAACCUGCCUGUAAGACUGGGAUAACUCCGGGAAACCGGGGCUAAUACCGGAUGGUUGUCUGAACCGCAUGGUUCAGACAUAAAAGGUGGCUUCGGCUACCACUUACAGAUGGACCCGCGGCGCAUUAGCUAGUUGGUGAGGUAACGGCUCACCAAGGCGACGAUGCGUAGCCGACCUGAGAGGGUGAUCGGCCACACUGGGACUGAGACACGGCCCAGACUCCUACGGGAGGCAGCAGUAGGGAAUCUUCCGCAAUGGACGAAAGUCUGACGGAGCAACGCCGCGUGAGUGAUGAAGGUUUUCGGAUCGUAAAGCUCUGUUGUUAGGGAAGAACAAGUGCCGUUCAAAUAGGGCGGCACCUUGACGGUACCUAACCAGAAAGCCACGGCUAACUACGUGCCAGCAGCCGCGGUAAUACGUAGGUGGCAAGCGUUGUCCGGAAUUAUUGGGCGUAAAGGGCUCGCAGGCGGUUUCUUAAGUCUGAUGUGAAAGCCCCCGGCUCAACCGGGGAGGGUCAUUGGAAACUGGGGAACUUGAGUGCAGAAGAGGAGAGUGGAAUUCCACGUGUAGCGGUGAAAUGCGUAGAGAUGUGGAGGAACACCAGUGGCGAAGGCGACUCUCUGGUCUGUAACUGACGCUGAGGAGCGAAAGCGUGGGGAGCGAACAGGAUUACAUACCCUGGUAGUCCACGCCGUAAACGAUGAGUGCUAAGUGUUAGGGGGUUUCCGCCCCUUAGUGCUGCACCUAACGCAUUAAGCACUCCGCCUGGGGAGUACGGUCGCAA
rnacentral:rRNA from 1 species